CUUAAACUCAUUAAAAAUUGACAUUUGAUCAAAAACUCAAAGUCUUGAAAUUUGCAAACAAUCACAGCUUAUUAGGGAGAAAAAAAUGGAAGAGCAAGUAAAAUUGUUUGGAGCUUUUCCAAGUCCCUUUAGUUAUAGGAUCAUUUGGGCUUUGAAACACAAGAAUAUUUGUUAUGAAUACAUAGAAGAAGAUCUUUCUAACAAAAGCCAACAGCUUUUGACAUAUAACCCUAUUUGUAAGAUGAUCCCAAUUCUUUUACAUGGUGGAAAACCAAUAGUUGAAUCCACAAUCAUUCUUGAAUACAUAGAAGAAACAUGGCCCCAAAAUCCUUUGUUCCCCAAGGAUCCUUAUAAAAGGCUAAGGCUAGAUUCUGGAUCAAGUUCGGAGAAGAUAAGAACUCAGAAUUUUAUCAAAUAUUUCACAAGAUUGGAGAAGAGCAAGUUAAGGCAACUGAAAAUGCCAAAAAAAUCUUUAAAAUUAUAGAGGAACAAGGUCUUGGAGAUAAAAAGUUUUUUAGUGGGGAUACAAUUGGUUUAAUUGACAUAGCCUUUGGCUGGCUUGCUUUCUGGCUA